rnacentral:lncRNA from 1 species
GCGGUGAUUCGCCUCGGGUUGGCCGUUUCUGGCCGAAUUCGGCCACACUCGCAUUGGUCCCUGCGAUAAAACAACCCUAGGGCCCUCGUGGGGCCAAAAAAUUACGGAAAACCAAAGCUUACAGGCGGCGGUGCUCUCGGGUGCGGCGGCUCUCCGGCGAGGUUCGUGUUUUGGUGAUUCGGCUCCGGUCAACCUGUAGAGAAAAGAAUGGUGAUCACGGUGAUAUAAAAAUUGCAUCAAACGGAGGCCGGGAAGGGCCUCAUCGGAGGCAAAAACCGAGAAGGGGCGCGGCGGGUGGCGGCGGCCGGCUUCUGGUUCGCCUUCUCCGGCGAGGGCAGGCGACUAGGGUUUUGUGGUCUGGUGUAGGGGUUCUAUUUAUACCCUUUUGCCUUUUGAUCUCAGCCGUCCAUUUUGAUUUAAUCUAGGCCGUCCGUUUUUGAUUGAAUCUGGGCCGUCCGAUCGCACGCUUGAUCUGGGCUGUCCGAUCGCGCAUACGCGGAUCGCCAACGUGGUCCAUCCCGGAUCGACGUGUCU